rnacentral:lncRNA from 1 species
AUGUUGUAAAUCAUGUUGUAUACAUAUUUUAUAUUUUAUAUUGUAUACAAAUAAGUUUAUCAGAGCUAUUUACCAUAAUGUUCAUUGCUUAAACAGAAUAUGUUAGUUCACUUAUAAAUCAAUUAUUAAUAUGUUUAUCAAAAUACAACAUCCACCCAGAAGUCAUACAUUUUUUACAACUUGAGAAUGCUAAAAAUAAAACACCUCUCAUACUAAGUAAGACAAGGCAGGUCUUAUAUGUAUCAUAACCUAAGCCUAGGUCUUCUUUUCAAUGGGGGGUGGCUAUUAAGUAUGAUAUUUAUUUAUGUGCCUUCAUUUAGACCACAUAGAAGUUGUAAACAUGGGUCUUUGGUAUAAGCUGAGUAAAUAUCCCAACCGGCACCCAUGCAAAGCUUCAUCGCUCAUUAAUAAACACCAAGAGUUAAUAAAAAGCUGUAAAGUAGGCUUUGGUUGUAAGCUUUGGUGCUACAUGCUAUUGAAUAUGGGACGUCAUUCUUGAGACUACCCAUCGCCAGAGAGAAAGCAGUUGCAUGUCCGUACUUUAACUACACUAUGGUAUUGAUUUUGGAAACACCACAAAAGAAAUUUUCUGGAUUAUACAAGUAAAUGUGUUACAUGCAUUGAUCAUUUUUGUUUAGUUUUUUAAAGAGAAGUAUAGAGGCACUGUUUGAAGAUAAGAUUAUUUAGUAAUUGCAUUUGUAUUAUUGAGAGGCAAGAUUGCACAACAUGGGUUGUUUGAUAUUAGUACAAUGUACAAUGUACAAUGUAAUAUGACAUUCAACUUUUGUGUUAAAGCUGUAUUAAACACACAAAUUUAUGUUGAAUACAUUGAUUAACAUUUAAGUGCAUCGGAUUUGGAACAUUGUUCAGAAAGAGGUUGUGAUAUUUACACAAGAAGCUGUACACUUUAUUGUGCAAGAUGUUAGACUAGAACAAAGUCCGGCAACAAACAUGAACCUUUUUCUCACAAAUUUUUUUAAAAAACAAUACAAAUAGUAAAUAACAAAUAAUUGUGAAGUUAGAGAAGGAUUUUAUUUUUUGCUUAAACAAAGAUUGUGAACCCACCACCAAAUAUUUUUUCAUGCUGCACAACACAACAAGAUAACAAUCUAUUUGUAAGCACUGGAUUAAGUCUGCUAAUCAACAAAGAAUAAUACCCAUACCUUUGAAAACAUAAAGAACAGGAAGCAUCAUCAAUAGCGGUAUUAAUUUGAUGACUAGUGCCAUAAUUUCAUAACCCACAUUACAGAUGAUGAUGAGUUGAUUUUGCUGUUCUGCAAAGAUGAGAGCAGAAAGUCUGACACCCUCCUUUAUUGAUAUUAUUAACCAAUUAUGAAUAUAUAACUGUAUUUUUGUUUUUUAAACUCCCUAACCAUUUUUACUAAAAUGACUCAAUGAAAACAGAAUUUCAUCUGACAC